GUUUGAAUUGCUCAUCCAUUAAAACAAGGAUGGAAAC
rfam:Methanotorris igneus Kol 5, complete genome.